AAAGCAGGGAAGGCCAGAAAAUGGCAAACAAUAUGUGGAUAUUUGUUCUAUUGGCAGUAUUUGCUGGGAUACAUGAAUGUUCUACACAAGUGGAACCAUCCUUCAAAUAUAUGACUGUUU